rnacentral:rRNA from 1 species
CGUAGGCAGCGAGCGUUGUUCGGAGUUACUGGGCGUAAAGGGUGUGUAGGCGGUUCUUUAAGUUUGGUGUGAAAUCUCCCGGCUCAACCGGGAGGGUGCGCCGAAUACUGAGGGACUUCGAGUGCGGGAGAGGAAAGUGGAAUUCCUGGUGUAGCGGUGAAAUGCGUAGAUAUCAGGAGGAACACCGGUGGUGUAGACGGCUUUCUGGACCGUAACUGACGCUGAGACACGAAAGCGUGGGUAGCAAACAGG